GUAAAGCACUUUCAGUAGGGAGGAAGGUAGUGUAGUUAACACCUGCACUUAUUUGACGUUACCUACAGAAGAAGCACCGGCUAACUACCGUGCCAGCAGCCGCGGUAAUACGGAGGGUGCGAGCGUUAAUCGGAAUUACUGGGCGUAAAGCGCAUGCAGGCGGCCUGUUAAGUCAGAUGUGAAAGCCCGGGGCGUUAACCUCGGAAUUGCAUUUGUAAACUAGGCAGGCUAGAGUCUUGUAGAGGGGGGUAGGAAUUUCAGGUGUAGCGGUGAAAUGCGUAGAGAUCUGAAGGAAUACCAGUGGCGAAGGCGGCCCCCUCGGACAAAGACUGACGCUCAGACUGCGAAAGCGUGGGGAGCAAACAGGAUUAGAUACCCCUGGUAG
rnacentral:rRNA from 1 species